GGGGUCAUAGCUCAGUUGGUAGAGCGCGUCGUUCGCAAUGACGAGGUCAGGGGUUCGACUCCCCUUGGCUCCA
rnacentral:tRNA from 4 species